GUUCCCUUUCUUUUCUUUUCAUGUCUUCGGCUGGAAUAAAACCACGGAGGCCCAGUGUGAGUGAGAGAGAGAGAGAUAGAGAGAAUAGGGGGAAGCGGGAGGAAUCUGCAGAAGCAUAAGAAGCUCCGUGCAUGUCCGUGAAAACCCGACCCUGCGGUCACCUUCUCCCUUCCGACCUCUCUUUCUCAGGGAUCGUGGAGAAUGAAUCCUUGCACUCUGAAGGGUUGACUCAGUUUGCUAUUUUUUUGGGAGUUUUAUAUGAGCUAAGAACUAUACUAGCGGCAUAUGAGAACUUUUUGGAUAUUCGGGGAUCAGCGUGAAAGACUUCUAGUUAGAUCUGUGUGUAUUGUCGGUAUUAAGUUAUGUACUUAAUGCCUAUGGAUAUGUUGCGACUUGAAAUUUUUGAUUCAGUCAUUUUAUAGAUUACUAUGGAAAUUAUGCUAAAUGUUAGAUUAUGAGUCUAUGACCUUGAGAUAUAUAUAUAUUAGUAUGUUGGUCGGAUUCAAUGUUAUCAGAACGGACCGAACAUGGUGGUUCGACCGGUCGUAUCGAAAAUCGAACCUAUGUUCGGUCCGAUUAGCUUGUAAACCAAAAAUGCAUAACUAGACCGGUGAAUUCAAAAACCCGGCCAGUUUUUAGACAAACCCAUCGAAUCCAUUUGAACCGGCCGGUUGCAUGGGUUCAUAAUUUUUUGAAGGAAAUCCCCCGAAAAUGAGCCCAAUUGUAUUCGAUUCUAAAGGCUGAAACGGUGAAACACUAGUCUUCUUCAUUCUUCAGUUUAGCCAUUAGUGACUUCACUGAAGUUCCGCCGCAUCGAGCUCACGAGACUAGAGCUUCCUCUUUCUUCUUUCGUCAUCGGCUUCCCGUAAGCUCGAAGAUUCAAGAUUUUCAAAUUGAUCUCCAGAAUGGCUAAUUUCUUGCAGAAGCUCGUCAGGAGCAGCAACACUUCGUCCUCUCGUAUGCUCUUGAACUCCUCCAAUCUUCAAAAGAUCAUCCCAUUCCUUCCGAAACCCACAGCCGCAACAUCUUCCCUCAUCCCCCAACCCGACCAGACAAAACCAGGGAUUCCUCUACCUCCAAAAAUCGAUGGAAGUACCAACCUUUCGUAAUACCAUUAACUUAUUUUCCCCAGCACGAAAUCAAUGUUGAGUCAACAAUCAUCGAGAGGGCACCACCAAGCGAGAUCGAGACCAGCACCUUGUAUAGGUUGGGGAAAAGUCGCGAGGCCGAAUCGGGCUGCCAGCCAAAUUGGGCCACCACUUGGGAUGGGAAUGGCUUAGCCCACAUGCAUCAUUUGUCAGCUGGAACAACUAUGUACGUUUUCGAUUUCAUGACCGAUCACCAUCGAUAAGGAAGAAUCUUUCUAAAUCUCUUUGGGUUUGGGUCAUGGGUUUAGGGGAAGGGAGGAUUUCUUUAUAAAAUAUUAGAUCGAUUCCAAAGGUCGAUCUUCUGUCUGAUGAGAAUGGGCUCAGGCUCUGUACGGCCAUUUUAGUAUUUUUUUUAUGGCGCCCAAUUUUCCAUUUGGGUUCUGCUCGAGUCCUGUUUCUUCGGCUGGGGUGAAAAUGUCAGAGGAAGCUGAGGGUGAUGAUGAGGGGAUAAUUCGGGCAGACAGUGUGAAGAAGAAGAAGAAGAGGAAGAGGAAGAGGAAGACGAGCAAGCACAAGUAUAAGAAGCUCAGGAAGCGGAAGAUGAGCAAGCACAAGUAUAAGACACAGCAGAGCACAUCAGCCCAACUCGCUGGAUUGAGACCAAGCAUUCAUGGAGGUUGCCCUGCACGUCUUUCAAGCGAAGCAACGGGUCUAGCACCUGAUCCAACCCAUGAGGAAGUGAUCUCUCAACAAAUUCAU